rnacentral:rRNA from 1 species
UGGGGAAUUUUGGACAAUGGGCGAAAGCCUGAUCCAGCAAUGCCGCGUGUGUGAAGAAGGCCUUCGGGUUGUAAAGCACUUUUGUCCGGAAAGAAAUCCUUGGCUCUAAUACAGUCGGGGGAUGACGGUACCGGAAGAAUAAGCACCGGCUAACUACGUGCCAGCAGCCGCGGUAAUACGUAGGGUGCAAGCGUUAAUCGGAAUUACUGGGCGUAAAGCGUGCGCAGGCGGUUUGCUAAGACCGAUGUGAAAUCCCCGGGCUCAACCUGGGAACUGCAUUGGUGACUGGCAGGCUAGAGUAUGGCAGAGGGGGUAGAAUUCCACGUGUAGCAGUGAAAUGCGUAGAGAUGUGGAGGAAUACCGAUGGCGAAGGCAGCCCCCUGGGCCAAUACUGACGCUCAUGCACGAAAGCGUGGGGAGCAAACAGGAUUAGAUACCCUGGUAGUCCACGCCCUAAACGAUGUCAACUAGUUGUUGGGGAUUCAUUUCCUUAGUAACGUAGCUAACGCGUGAAGUUGACCGCCUGGGGAGUACGGCCGCAAGGCU